rnacentral:lncRNA from 1 species
CCGUGGCCGUGGACGGGCCGGAGGCGGCGUCGCUCGCGCCGCUGCGUGCGGUGUGGUGCGAGGCGGGUGCGCCGAUCGGCCGCGGCGCCGCAGGACCAUGGAGCUCGGAUCGCAGCCCUGGCGCCGGCGGCGGGACCGCGGACCGUUUUAGUUUUGAUUGCUGUUACUCUUACUGAUAACUGAGCCAAAGUGGUGAUGCUACUUGAGGGGAAUUUCUGCAACCCAUCGUCAAUGAUUAUAUGAAGAUAAAAGCUGUCUGGGAGAAGAAUACGUUUGUUAGAGUACUGCUGUGCUUUGGAUGUGGUUUGUCUCCAUCAAAACUGAUACUGAAAUUUGAUCCCCCAGUGUGGCGAUGUUGGGAGGCGUGGCCUAGUGGAAACCCUUAUGAACAGAUUAG